AGUAGGACCACACCCUAGUAAUCCAGGCAUGUUCGAAAGCCUGUGCUUGUACUCUAUAUGUCUGUCCGCGUUAGUGACAAAGUCUUUUCACAGCCCAGGUGGCCCCCGCUCCCCUCCCCUUUGUGGGAGCAAACCAUUUUAGGUAGGGGGCCCGAUCUGAAGGCUGUUGGAGCUGGAAGUGGAAGUUGGAAGAUACAUUGCUGUGUUAGCGGGAGCAGAACAACAGUGAUAAGAGUGAAGUCAUGAAAUUCGAACCGUGACAUGGCGAGGGAUGACUGGAUAUCCAAGUGCUGGAGAAGUUCCGCCGGCUCGCAGCGGAGAGCGACUAGAACGCUUUGCUGGACGACUUCUCCUUCAACCCCGCCGACCGUAUCCAGGAACAGAUGAUUCCGCUGCAACCCCCCAACAACCUCGACGACCUUGUUGCCCUAGCAGCACGCAUUGAGAGGCAUCUUCUGGACCGGGAGAAGAGGUUCCAACAACCAUGACGCAGCGCUGCCUCUGUCAGCCGCAGUGGCCCCAAUGAUCUCCACAAUGCCCGUCAGAUGAUAUCCAACGUCAGUUCCCCACCAAGACCACCGCUGGAGGAACCCAUGCAGCUCGGAGGAAAUCAUCUCACUCCAGCCAAGAGGAGUCGUCGAAUCAGUCUGCGACUUUGCAUCUACUGUGGUCGGGCAGACCACUCAAUCUCCCAAUGCCCCCUCCGCCCUGCCAGCUGUCGCUCUCAAACUCCACACACUCCAUGACCCAGCUCCCCUAUGGCUGUGCCAACUCAGCAACCGUCUUCUGCAAGUCAGACAGCUUCUCAUUUUCAACUAUCUGGUGCACUUUUUGGGGAAGACAAAGACUAUGUGCACUUAUUGACUGGCGCUGAUGACAAUGUAAUUGACAAAUCCUUUAUUAAGUGUUUUGUCAUACCUGUCUGCCUCGAUCUGGAGUAGUCAGAUCUCUUGAUGAAGGUCACCUGGCGAGCAUAACCCACCAGACCAAUUCUGUCUCUCCAUGUGUCCAUGUGUCCAUGUGUUUUGAGUCCAUAAAUUUUCUUAUCAUCCCCUCUUGUUCCGCUCCUAUUGUGCUCGGGCUUACCUGGCUUGCUAAAAACAAUCCCCACUUAGACUGGUCGAAAUCCAUUGUCAGUAAAUGGAGCAUUUUUUGUCACACCCAUUGCCUCAGAUCUACUUACCCCAGCUCAACGACCCUCUCACAGUGCCGUCCCGGAAGCAAUAGAUUUGUCCACAGUUCCUUCUGUCUACCACGAUCUCCGGGAAGUGUUUACUAAGGACAGUGCUUUGUCUUUACCUCCACACCGUCCUUAUUAUUGUAGCAUAAAUCUUCUCCAUGGCACCGCACACUUACCGUGCACUU